rnacentral:rRNA from 1 species
GAUGAACGCUGGCGGCGUGCCUAAUACAUGCAAGUCGAGCGAACGGACGAGAAGCUUGCUUCUCUGAUGUUAGCGGCGGACGGGUGAGUAACACGUGGAUAACCUACCUAUAAGACUGGGAUAACUUCGGGAAACCGGAGCUAAUACCGGAUAAUAUUUUGAACCGCAUGGUUCAAAAGUGAAAGACGGUCUUGCUGUCACUUAUAGAUGGAUCCGCGCUGCAUUAGCUAGUCGGUAAGGUAACGGCUUACCAAGGCAACGACGCAUAGCCGACCUGAGAGGGUGAUCGGCCACACUGGAACUGAGACACGGUCCAGACUCCUACGGGAGGCAGCAGUAGGGAAUCUUCCGCAAUGGGCGAAAGCCUGACGGAGCAACGCCGCGUGAGUGAUGAAGGUCUUCGGAUCGUAAAACUCUGUUAUUAGGGAAGAACAUAUGUGUAAGUAACUGUGCACAUCUUGACGGUACCUAAUCAGAAAGCCACGGCUAACUACGUG